rnacentral:rRNA from 1 species
GGGGGAGGCGGGUUUACAUGCAGUCGACGAGAAAGGGAUUGCUUGUAAUCCUGAGUAGAGUGGCGCACGGGUGAGUAACACGUAGAUAAUCUGCCUUCAAGCCCGGGAUAACUAUUCGAAAGGAUAGCUAAUACCGGAUAAAGUGGAUUUACACAAGUAAAUUUAUGAAAGACUGCCUAUCCUUGGAAGCAGUUGUUUGGAGAUGAGUCUGCGGACCAUUAGUUUGUUGGUGGGGUAACGGCCUACCAAGACUGCGAUGGUUAGCUGGUCUGAGAGGAUGAUCAGUCACACUGGAACUGGAACACGGUCCAGACUCCUACGGGAGGCAGCAGUGAGGAAUUUUGCGCAAUGGGGGCAACCCUGACGCAGCAACGCCGCGUGAGUGAAGAAGGCCUUUGGGUCGUAAAGCUCUGUCAACUGGGAAGAAAUUAGCAUCAAUUAAUAGUUGUUGCUAUUGACGGUACCAGUGGAGGAAGCGCCGGCUAACUCCGUGCCAGCAGCCGCGGUAACACGGGGGGCGCAAGCGUUAUUCGGAAUUAUUGGGCGUAAAGGGCGCGCAGGCGGUCUUGUCGGUCAGGUGUGAAAGCCCGGGGCUCAACCCUGGAAGUGCAUUUGAAACAGCAAGACUUGAAUACUGGAGAGGAAAGCGGAAUUCCUGGUGUAGAGGUGAAAUUCGUAGAUAUCAGGAGGAACACCGAUGGCGAAGGCAGCUUUCUGGGCUAAAACUGACAUUGAGAGACGAAAGCUAGGGGAGCAAAUAGGAUUAGAUACCCUAGUAGUCUUAGCUGUAAACGAUGGAUACUGAGUGUUGGACGAAAUAAAGUUCAGUGCUGUAGCUAACGCGUUAAGUA